GAUGAACGCUGGCGGCGUGCCUAACACAUGCAAGUCGAGCGAACGGACCUGAAUUUUGUUUUUCUGAUGUUAUCGUCGGAUGGGUGAGUAAUACGUGAAUAACCUAUCUUUUAGACUCGGAUAACUUCGAGAAACCGGAGCUAAUAUCGGAUGAUAUUUUGAACUGCAUGGUGCUACCGUGAGUGACAGUCUUUUUGUUACUUAUUGGUGGUUCCGCGCUGCAGUAGCUACUUGGUAAGGUAACGGCUUACGAAGACAACGAUGCAUAGCCGACGUGAGAGGGUGAUCGGGCACACUGGAACUGAGACACGGUCAAGACUCCGACGGGAAGCAGCAGUAGGGAAGCGGAAGAAAGGAGCGAAAGCGGGACGGAGCAACGCCGCGGGAGAGAUGAAGGUGUUCGGAUCGGAAAACUCUGUUAUUAGGGAAGAAGAGAAGGGUAAGUAAUUGGGCAGAUCGUGACGGUAGCUAAAGAAAAAGCCACGGCUAACUACGUG
rnacentral:rRNA from 1 species